rnacentral:tRNA from 1 species
AAAGGGAGACCUAAUUCAGGUAAAAGACGAAAAAAAAGUAGUCGCUACCAAGAAUCAAUCCCAAAAGGUCGGAGCGAGGCGAAAUUGGCUUUCAAACUAGGUUCUGGGUUCACACAAGACCUGAAUCAGGAACAAGGGCUAUUAGCUCAGGUGGUUAGAGCGCACCCCUGAUAAGGGUGAGGUCCCUGGUUCGAGUCCAGGAUGGCCCACCUGCACAGGUGGCAAAAACAAGAGAAGCGAGGAAUCAGCACCUUAUCUUAUAUACAUAUAUAAGAGAGAAUGCUGGCUCUGAGUACAGAGUCCAGAGGAACCUUGAAAACUGCAUAGAGCUAGGUGAAAAAGCCAAAAAAGAAGACCGCAAG